rnacentral:tRNA from 2 species
GCCCUGGUGGCGGAAUUGGCAUACGCAGCAGGUUGAGGGCCUGUGUUCGAAAGGACGUGAGAGUUCGAGUCUCUCCCAGGGCA